UCCUACGGGGCGCAGCAGUGAGGAAUAUUGGUCAAUGGGCGGGAGCCUGAACCAGCCAAGUCGCGUGAAGGAAGAAGGCUUUCGGGUUGUAAACUUCUUUUAAGGGGGAAGAGCAGAAGACGGUACCCCUUGAAUAAGCCACGGCUAACUACGUGCCAGCAGCCGCGGUAAUACGUAGGUGGCAAGCGUUGUCCGGAUUUACUGGGUGUAAAGGGCGUGCAGCCGGGAAGACAAGUCAGAUGUGAAAUCCCGCGGCUCAACCGCGGAACUGCAUUUGAAACUGUUUUUCUUGAGUAUCGGAGAGG
rnacentral:rRNA from 1 species